AUAGGGAAUUGCAAUUAUUUCCCUUGACGACGGAAUUCCCAGUAAGCGCGAGUCAUUAGCUCGCGUUGAUUACGUCCCUGCCCUUUGUACACACCGCCCGUCGCUACUACCGAUUGAAUGGUUUAGUGAGGUCCUCCGAUUGGACCCGGUCCGGGCGGCGACGUCCGAGCCGGCGUCCGAGAAGACGAUCUAACUUGAUCAUUUAGAGGAAGUAAAAGUCGUAACAAGGUUUCCGUAGGUGAACCUGCGGAAGGAUCAUUA
rnacentral:ncRNA from 1 species